UACGUAGGGACCAAGCGUUGUUCGGAUUUACUGGGCGUAAAGGGCGCGUAGGCGGCGUGGUAAGUCAGCGGUGAAAUCUCCGAGCUCAACUCGGAACGGUCAGCUGAUACUGCUGUGCUAGAGUACAGAAAGGGCAAUCGGAAUUCUUGGUGUAGCGGUGAAAUGCGUAGAUAUCAAGAGGAACAUCUGAGGCGAAGGCGGGUUGCUAGGCUGAUACUGACGCUGAGGCGCGAAAGCUAGGGGAGCAAACGGG
rnacentral:rRNA from 1 species